UACGUAGGUGGCAAGCGUUGUCCGGAUUUACUGGGCGUAAAGGGCUCGUAGGCGCCAACUAAGUCAGACGUGAAAUCCCUCGGCUUAACCGGGGAACUGCGUCUGAUACUGGUUGGCUUGAAUCCGGGAGAGGGAUGUGGAAUUCCAGGUGUAGCGGUGAAAUGCGUAGAUAUCUGGAGGAACACCGGUGGCGAAGGCGGCAUCCUGGACCGGUAUUGACGCUGAGGAGCGAAAGCCAGGGGAGCAAACGGG
rnacentral:rRNA from 1 species